rnacentral:rRNA from 1 species
CCGUACACAAAAAUGCACAUGCUGUGAGCUCGAUGAGUAGGGCGGGACACGUGGUAUCCUGUCUGAAUAUGGGGGGACCAUCCUCCAAGGCUAAAUACUCCUGACUGACCGAUAGUGAACCAGUACCGUGAGGGAAAGGCGAAAAGAACCCCGGCGAGGGGAGUGAAAAAGAACCUGAAACCGUGUACGUACAAGCAGUGGGAGCACGCUUAGGCGUGUGACUGCGUACCUUUUGUAUAAUGGGUCAGCGACUUAUAUUCUGUAGCAAGGUUAACCGAAUAGGGGAGCCGAAGGGAAACCGAGUCUUAACUGGGCGUUAAGUUGCAGGGUAUAGACCCGAAACCCGGUGAUCUAGCCAUGGGCAGGUUGAAGGUUGGGUAACACUAACUGGAGGACCGAACCGACUAAUGUUGAAAAAUUAGCGGAUGACUUGUGGCUGGGGGUGAAAGGCCAAUCAAACCGGGAGAUAGCUGGUUCUCCCCGAAAGCUAUUUAGGUAGCGCCUCGUGAAUUCAUCUCCGGGGGUAGAGCACUGUUUCGGCAAGGGGGUCAUCCCGACUUACCAACCCGAUGCAAACUGCGAAUACCGGAGAAUGUUAUCACGGGAGACACACGGCGGGUGCUAACGUCCGUCGUGAAGAGGGAAACAACCCAGACCGCCAGCUAAGGUCCCAAAGUCAUGGUUAAGUGGGAAACGAUGUGGGAAGGCCCAGACAGCCAGGAUGUUGGCUUAGAAGCAGCCAUCAUUUAAAGAAAGCGUAAUAGCUCACUGGUCGAGUCGGCCUGCGCGGAAGAUGUAACGGGGCUAAACCAUGCACCGAAGCUGCGGCAGCGACGCUUAUGCGUUGUUGGGUAGGGGAGCGUUCUGUAAGCCUGUGAAGGUGUGCUGUGAGGCAUGCUGGAGGUAUCAGAAGUGCGAAUGCUGACAUAAGUAACGAUAAAGCGGGUGAAAAGCCCGCUCGCCGGAAGACCAAGGGUUCCUGUCCAACGUUAAUCGGGGCAGGGUGAGUCGACCCCUAAGGCGAGGCCGAAAGGCGUAGUCGAUGGGAAACAGGUUAAUAUUCCUGUACUUGGUGUUACUGCGAAGGGGGGACGGAGAAGGCUAUGUUGGCCGGGCGACGGUUGUCCCGGUUUAAGCGUGUAGGCUGGUUUUCCAGGCAAAUCCGGAAAAUCAAGGCUGAGGCGUGAUGACGAGGCACUACGGUGCUGAAGCAACAAAUGCCCUGCUUCCAGGAAAAGCCUCUAAGCAUCAGGUAACAUCAAAUCGUACCCCAAACCGACACAGGUGGUCAGGUAGAGAAUACCAAGGCGCUUGAGAGAACUCGGGUGAAGGAACUAGGCAAAAUGGUGCCGUAACUUCGGGAGAAGGCACGCUGAUAUGUAGGUGAAGUCCCUCGCGGAUGGAGCUGAAAUCAGUCGAAGAUACCAGCUGGCUGCAACUGUUUAUUAAAAACACAGCACUGUGCAAACACGAAAGUGGACGUAUACGGUGUGACGCCUGCCCGGUGCCGGAAGGUUAAUUGAUGGGGUCAGCGCAAGCGAAGCUCUUGAUCGAAGCCCCGGUAAACGGCGGCCGUAACUAUAACGGUCCUAAGGUAGCGAAAUUCCUUGUCGGGUAAGUUCCGACCUGCACGAAUGGCGUAAUGAUGGCCAGGCUGUCUCCACCCGAGACUCAGUGAAAUUGAACUCGCUGUGAAGAUGCAGUGUACCCGCGGCAAGACGGAAAGACCCCGUGAACCUUUACUAUAGCUUGACACUGAACAUUGAGCCUUGAUGUGUAGGAUAGGUGGGAGGCUUAGAAGUGUGGACGCCAGUCUGCAUGGAGCCGACCUUGAAAUACCACCCUUUAAUGUUUGAUGUUCUAACGUUGACCCGUAAUCCGGGUUGCGGACAGUGUCUGGUGGGUAGUUUGACUGGGGCGGUCUCCUCCUAAAGAGUAACGGAGGAGCACGAAGGUUGGCUAAUCCUGGUCGGACAUCAGGAGGUUAGUGCAAUGGCAUAAGCCAGCUUGACUGCGAGCGUGACGGCGCGAGCAGGUGCGAAAGCAGGUCAUAGUGAUCCGGUGGUUCUGAAUGGAAGGGCCAUCGCUCAACGGAUAAAAGGUACUCCGGGGAUAACAGGCUGAUACCGCCCAAGAGUUCAUAUCGACGGCGGUGUUUGGCACCUCGAUGUCGGCUCAUCACAUCCUGGGGCUGAAGUAGGUCCCAAGGGUAUGGCUGUUCGCCAUUUAAAGUGGUACGCGAGCUGGGUUUAGAACGUCGUGAGACAGUUCGGUCCCUAUCUGCCGUGGGCGCUGGAGAACUGAGGGGGGCUGCUCCUAGUACGAGAGGACCGGAGUGGACGCAUCACUGGUGUUCGGGUUGUCAUGCCAAUGGCACUGCCCGGUAGCUAAAUGCGGAAGAGAUAAGUGCUGAAAGCAUCUAAGCACGAAACUUGCC